AUUGAGUCCACAGAGCAGACCUUAGCAACCAUAUUUGGAGGGGAAGACAGAGUUGAAGCAACUUAACCAGGGUUAAAGUAGGGUCAACCUAUGGAUUCAAGGUUAGCGUAGGCUGGGCACUUGGCCAACAAGCAUAAGUUUGAUUUUCUUCAAAAUAGUAACUCCUAAUGCGAAGAGGAAGAGAGUCAGUGGCGUCUGGCUGAGGGAAGAAGGAGCCUGGCUGCACCGCUGUCUGGGGUCUGUGGCCUAGGCCAGGUACAAUUGACAGCCUCCCCACACGGAGCCACUUCUUCACGACAGGACAUCAAGAUUCUGUUCAGGACACAACCAACAUGAACCAUCACACACACUGGCAUGAUCAUUGACUUGGGAUUCUUCAAGCAGCCUUUUAGACUCUUUCUGAAACAUUUUCAAAGCAUCACGUAAGUAUUAACUGAAAUGGUUCUUCAAUGGUCCCUGUUACCCUCGGCCUCUUCCCUUCCCUUCUGUAGCCAAUGCUGAGGAAUGCGCAGAGAAAUCUCUAGUCUCCACCACAGGAAGGUAAGAGCUAGCAGCAGGGAAGACAGAGGGAUCCCCCAAAGCAUUCAUGUUUUUGCAAGUAUAACAAAUAUAGUGAAAAAUCCUCUCUUGUACGCAGUUAAAAUUUGGCAGAGCACAAACCA
rnacentral:lncRNA from 1 species